GACGAACGCUGGCGGCGUGCUUAACACAUGCAAGUCGAACGUGAUUUUUAUGGAAAGCCCUUCGGGGACGGAAAUGAAAUGAAAGUGGCGGACGGGUGAGUAACACGUGAGCAACCUACCUUACACAGGGGGAUAGCCGUUGGAAACGACGAUUAAUACCGCAUGAGACCACUAAGACACAUGUUUUGGAGGUAAAAGAUUUAUCGGUGUAAGAUGGGCUCGCGUCUGAUUAGCUAGUUGGAAGGGUAAAGGCCUACCAAGGCAACGAUCAGUAGCCGGUCUGAGAGGAUGAACGGCCACAUUGGAACUGAGACACGGUCCAAACUCCUACGGGAGGCAGCAGUGGGGAAUAUUGCACAAUGGGGGGAACCCUGAUGCAGCGACGCCGCGUGAGCGAAGAAGGUUUUCGAAUCGUAAAGCUCUGUCCUAUGAGAAGAUAAUGACGGUAUCAUAGGAGGAAGCCCCGGCUAAAUACGUGCCAGCAGCCGCGGUAAUACGUAUGGGGCGAGCGUUGUCCGGAAUUAUUGGGCGUAAAGGGUACGUAGGCGGUUUUUUAAGUCAGGUGUGAAAGCGUGAGGCUUAACCUCAUUAAGCACUUGAAACUGGAAGACUUGAGUGAAGGAGAGGAAAGUGGAAUUCCUAGUGUAGCGGUGAAAUGCGUAGAUAUUAGGAGGAAUACCGGUGGCGAAGGCGACUUUCUGGACUUUUACUGACGCUCAGGUACGAAAGCGUGGGGAGCAAACAGG
rnacentral:rRNA from 1 species